rnacentral:rRNA from 1 species
UACAGAGGGUGCGAGCGUUGUCCGGAAUCACUGGGCGUAAAGAGCUCGUAGGCGGCUUGUCACGUCGGGUGUGAAAGCCCGGGGCUUAACCCCGGGUCUGCAUUCGAUACGGGCUAGCUAGAGUGUGGUAGGGGAGAUCGGAAUUCCUGGUGUAGCGGUGAAAUGCGCAGAUAUCAGGAGGAACACCGGUGGCGAAGGCGGAUCUCUGGGCCAUUACUGACGCUGAGGUGCGAAAGCGUGGGGAGCAAACAGG